rnacentral:rRNA from 1 species
GACGAACGCUGGCGGCGUGCUUAACACAUGCAAGUCGAACGGAAAGGCCCUGCUUUUGUGGGGUGCUCGAGUGGCGAACGGGUGAGUAACCCGGGAGUAACCUGCCCUUGACUUUGGGAUAACUUCAGGAAACUGGGGCUAAUACCGGAUAGGAGCUCCUGCUGCAUGGGGGGGGUUGGAAAGUUUCGGCGGUUGGGGAUGGACUCGCGGCUUAUCAGCUUGUUGGUGGGGUAGUGGCUUACCAAGGCUUUGACGGGUAGCCGGCCUGAGAGGGUGACCGGCCACAUUGGGACUGAGAUACGGCCCAGACUCCUACGGGAGGCAGCAGUGGGGAAUAUUGCACAAUGGGCGGAAGCCUGAUGCAGCAACGCCGCGUGCGGGAUGACGGCCUUCGGGUUGUAAACCGCUUUCGCCUGUGACGAAGCGUGAGUGACGGUAAUGGGUAAAGAAGCACCGGCUAACUACGUG